rnacentral:rRNA from 1 species
UACGAAGGGGGCUAGCGUUGCUCGGAAUUACUGGGCGUAAAGCGCACGUAGGCGGCUUUCUAAGUCGGGGGUGAAAUCCUGGAGCUCAACUCCAGAACUGCCUUCGAUACUGGAGAGCUCGAGUCCGGGAGAGGUGAGUGGAACUGCGAGUGUAGAGGUGAAAUUCGUAGAUAUUCGCAAGAACACCAGUGGCGAAGGCGGCUCACUGGGUCAUUACUGACGCUGAGGCACGAAAGCGUGGGGAGCAAACAGG